rnacentral:rRNA from 1 species
GAACUGAAGAGUUUGAUCCUGGCUCAGAUUGAACGCUGGCGGCAUGCCUUACACAUGCAAGUCGAACGGCAGCAUGAUC